rnacentral:SRP_RNA from 2 species
GUCAGGCAUGGUGGCGGGCGCCUGUAAUCCCAGCUACUCAGGAGGCUGAGGCAGGAGAAUCGCUUGAACCUGGGAGGCGGAGGUUGCAGUGAGCCGAGAUUGCAUCACUGCACUCCAGCCUGGGCGACAGUGUGAGACUCCGUCUCGAAAAAAAAAAAAAGAAAGCAGGGUCUGCUAGUCUUGUCACGGAGAUAAGGCUGCAAUGGAUUUUUUUUUAUUAUUUUUUUUGAAACGGAGUAUCUCUCUGUCGCCCGGGCUGGAGUGCUGUGGUGCGAUCUCGGCUCACUGCAACCUCUGCCUCCUGGGUUCAAGCGAUUCUCCUGCCUCAG